rnacentral:misc_RNA from 1 species
GAUGAAGAACGCAGCGAAAUGCGAUACUUGGUGUGAAUUGCAGAAUCCCGUGAACCAUCGAGUCUUUGAACGCAAGUUGCGCCUCAAGCCAUUAGGUUGAGGGCACGUCUGCCUGGGCGUCACAUAUCGUUGCCUGAUGCCAGUUUCCUCGUGAUGGGUGACUGUGCAGGGCGAAUGAUGGCUUCCCGUGAGCAUUGUUGCCUCAUGGUUGGUUGAAAAUUGAGUCCUUGGUAGGGAGCGCCGUGAUAGAUGGUGGUUGAGUGACGAACGAGACCCAAUCAUGUGAGACCCCUACCGAAUUUGGCCUUCAUGACCCACAUGCGUCUUUGGAACGCUCAUGACGAGACCUCAGGUCAGGCGGGGCUACCCGCUGAGUUUAAGCAUAUCAGUAAGCGGAGGA